UCGUCUUCGCUUAAAAAACUAGUUUCCUUCUGUGUUCCGGGAAUUGUUGUUCGGAGCUGCAGGUGAGCUCAGCUGCAGGGGAGCACGUGUCCUCGGUCCGGUUCGGGGACGCUGACCCGCAGGUUGUCUCUGUCGACUCGGACUCGUCGGUUCGUUGUUUUGAACUCGGCCGAAGUGAAGAAGAGGACUGACGGGUUUAACCUGAAGACGCUGCAGAGUCAGAGUCAGCCAGCACGCAGAGACACACGUGUAACUUUCUUCAGUCUUCACUUCCAGAGGUGCUGUGGACAAGACAACAACGACAACAACAACAACAACGACGACGACUACAACAACAACAACAACAACAACAACAACAACG